UGGAAAAGGAUGUGGGAUUUCGAAGACAACUAGGAUGUUGGCUCAGAAGCAGCCAUACAUUCAAAGAGUGCGUAAUAGCUCACUAGUCGAGAGGUCCUGCGCCGAAAAUGUCCGGGGCUGAAACACAACACCGAAGCUGCGGAACCCGCAAGGGUUGGUAGAGGAGCAUUCUUAAAGGAACGAAGCAGUACCGAAAGGAGCUGUGGACUUUUAAGAAGAGAGAAUGCCGGAAUGAGUAGCGAGAGGAAGGUGGGAAUCCUUCCGGCCGAAUAUCUAAGGUUUCCAGGGUAAAGCUGAUCUGCCCUGGGUAAGUCGGGACCUAAGGCGAGGCCGAGAGGCGUAGUCGAUGGACAACAGGUUGAAAUUCCUGUACUAUCCUGUAACAGAACUGUGGGGACGCAGAAAGAGAGCGUGAGCCGGGAAUGGAAAGACCGGUGCAAGCGAGGUAGGAGUCGCAUAGGCAAAUCCGUGCGGCAAUCCGAAGACGUGACGCGGACCGAAAACAAGUAGGGAAGCACGUGAGCUGGCUGCCAAGAAAAGCCGCUAUUGUUUGCAGGAUACCCGUACCGUAAACCGACACAGGUGGAUGAGGAGAGAAUCCUAAGGCCGACGGGAGAAGCAUUGUUAAGGAACUCGGCAAAAUGACUCCGUAACUUCGGGAGAAGGAGUGCCUCGAGAGAGGCCGCAGAGAAUUGGCCCAAGCAACUGUUUAGCAAAAACACAGGUCUAUGCGAAACCGAAAGGUGAGGUAUAUGGGCUGACGCCUGCCCGGUGCUGGAAGGUUAAGGGGAGAGGUUAGCGCAAGCGAAGCUUUGAACUUAAGCCCCAGUAAACGGCGGCCGUAACUAUAACGGUCCUAAGGUAGCGAAAUUCCUUGUCGGGUAAGUUCCGACCCGCACGAAAGGCGUAAUGAUUUGAGCACUGUCUCGACAAUGCAUCCGGUGAAAUUGAAGUACCAGUGAAGAUGCUGGUUACCUGCGCCAGGACGGAAAGACCCCAUGGAGCUUUACUCUAGCUUGAUACUGGGAUUCGGUAUUGCAUGUACAGGAUAGGUGGGAGACUAAGAGGUGAUGACGCCAGUUGUCACGGAGUCGAUGUUGGGAUACCACCCCUGCAGUACUGGGUUUCUAACCUGCGGCCGUGACCCGGCCGGGGGACAAUGUCUGGUGGGGAGUUUGACUGGGGCGGUCGCCUCCGAAAGGGUAUCGGAGGCGCUCAAAGGUUCCCUCAGAAUGGUUGGAAACCAUUCGAAGAGUG
rnacentral:rRNA from 1 species